GUGCACCAGUCGCGAAACCUCCGCAAUACACGAAAGUGUGACGGGGCCAUCCCGAGUGCCGUCCGCUGAGGACGGCUUUUCCCCCAGUGUACAUAGCUGGGGGAAUAAGGAGAGGGCAAGCCUGGUGUCAGCCGCCGCGGUAAUACCAGCUCUCCGAGUGGUGGGGACGCUUAUUGGGCCUAAAGCAUCCGUAGCCGGCUGGGCAAGUCCUCCGUUAAAUCCAACGAGUCAAUCGUUGGGCUGCGGGGGAUACUGUCCAGCUUGGGGACGGGAGAGGCCGACGGUAUUCCCCGGGGUAGGGGUGAAAGUCCUAUAAUCCCGGGAGGACCACCAGUGGCGAAGGCUGUCGGCUAGAACGCGCCCGACGGUGAGGGAUGGAAGCUGGGGGAGCGAACCGGAUUAGAUA
rnacentral:rRNA from 1 species